GGUUCUAUGGUGCAGCAGUUAUCACAUCUGCCUUACAUGCAGAAGGUCCUGGGUUCAAGUCCCAGAGGAACCG